UACGUAGGGACCGAGCGUUGUCCGGAAUCAUUGGGCGUAAAGAGCGUGUAGGCGGCCUUUUAAGUCCUGCGUGAAAUCCUGCGGCUCAACCGCAGACGGUCGUGGGAAACUGGAAGGCUAGAGUGCGGGAGAGGAGAGUGGAAUUCCCGGUGUAGCGGUGAAAUGCGCAGAUAUCGGGAAGAACACCCGUGGCGAAGGCGGCUCUCUGGAACGCAACUGACGCUGAGGCGCGAAAGCGUGGGGAGCAAACAGG
rnacentral:rRNA from 1 species